rnacentral:rRNA from 1 species
AUUGAACGCUGGCGGCAUGCCUUACACAUGCAAGUCGAACGGCAGCAUAGGAGCUUGCUCCUGAUGGCGAGUGGCGAACGGGUGAGUAAUAUAUCGGAACGUGCCCUAGAGUGGGGGAUAACUAGUCGAAAGACUAGCUAAUACCGCAUACGAUCUACGGAUGAAAGUGGGGGAUCGCAAGACCUCAUGCUCCUGGAGCGGCCGAUAUCUGAUUAGCUAGUUGGUGGGGUAAAAGCCUACCAAGGCAACGAUCAGUAGCUGGUUUGAGAGGACGACCAGCCACACUGGGACUGAGACACGGCCCAGACUCCUACGGGAGGCAGCAGUGGGGAAUUUUGGACAAUGGGGGCAACCCAGAUCCAGCAAUGCCGCGUGAGUGAAGAAGGCCUUCGGGUUGUAAAGCUCUUUUGUCAGGGAAGAAACGGUAGUAGCGAAUAACUAUUACUAAUGACGGUACCUGAAGAAUAAGCACCGGCUAACUACGUGCCAGCCGCCGCCGUAA